GGAAUUCCACUGGUUAGCGGCAACAUCAUCAAAGGGGUCUCUGAGCAGCACCAUCUUUCCCAAGCGUUGUGUGAAACCAUUUCUAGGACUCCUUAAUUCUUUGGUAGCUGAAGUAUAUUUGAAAAGAUGGCUUCUACUGGCAAAAUUACUUGGACAGAUGUACAUCUCCUGCCAUUUGCUGAGUUUGAACGAUCCAAGACUUCCAGAAGCACAGAGAUGAAACACACAUCAUUGCUGUCCUGUGAAAUAUAUGCAGGCCAUGGAUGUCAUCUCCACGCCACAGGACUUGAGUGGAUUGCGUUAUUCAACACGAGCCAGAUGGAAACUCUCUUGUGGCCAACUCUUUCUCAGAGCCUGCAGUUAAGUGUU